UUGAUCCCGCUACCUGGGC
rnacentral:piRNA from 1 species